UUUCAAUCCAAAACUUAGCGAUCUAAGCUCCGGUAGUAGCAGGAUAGCGAAUUCUCAGAGCGGAGAAGCUUAAGGUAAGGUUUAAUUUCGUUUUAAGUUUAAUAACAAUUGGUUUCGUAUAGGGGUUUUGUGAAUUAGAAUAGUUAUGAAGGUUCUGACCUUAUAGGAUUGUUCUCGGGUAGUCAUGGGACUAGUUCCGAUGUUUUCUUGUUGAAAUUGAAGUAGUUUUGGAUUAGAAAUCGAGUUUGGAACUUUUUAAAGCUUAGUCCGAGCGUUAAUGGCGUUUUCCAUUUAAGGGCUCGAUUUUAACUUCUGUUACAUAAGAAUGAUAGUAUUCAUGGUAUAUAUGUGCCCUGUGAAGUUUGGAGUGAUUUGGAUAAGUUUUGGUAGUGUUUCGGUGAGUGCGAAAAUUGAGAUUUUCGUGUUUCAUAGUUUUUAGAAAUUCAUAGGAGAUCAGAAAUCGUAUUUUUAUCAUAACUUUUCACUCGGGUGUCUAUUUUGGACGUUCUAUAUACCGUUUCGAAGCUUGCGACGAGCUUUACAAUAUGGUGUAUAUUUUAGAGCCAAAAUAUAAGUUUUAUUUUAGUGUAUUAUACCACAGAGUUUGGUAGAAAAUCCUAGAUUGUCUUACGCGAGUGUUAAGUGGUGUUUUGGGAUAAACACUUAUUGAUUUACUAUUGUUAUGACAUAGGGCCCAAGAUUAUCGAUCGUUCUCCAAGCAGGUCGGCCAACAUACCUGAUCCGGAACUUGAGGUAAGGGCAAGGCAAAGUUAGAACAACCAUGAGAUGGCGAUCUUCUCCAGCAAUGUACAUAUUGACCCCACCAGCUUGCGUGUUGAGUUGACAGGAGUUGUUUUAGACUGGCUGUGUCUUGUGUCUGCUGUAUUUUGAAUUGUAUUUUGAACUGUUGUUGUAUAUCAUCUUUUGGAUAAAUCUUUUAUAACAGGGAUUUCCGGAACUCCUUUUUACUGCCGUUAUAAUGUCCGUUUUUAGUAUUUUAUUUUA